rnacentral:sRNA from 1 species
ACACACACGCACAAACAACAUAUCUAUAUAUACUACGUAUCUAUCAUGCCUAGUGUUUGUGACCUAAUUAGCGGCUUGACCGUAGGUACUCGACUGAUGGCUCCUCCCCCUUUCCCCUCAACAUUGUUCUUACUACAACUUGAACAAUGUUUUGGGGCCGUGUUGAUGUCCUGGUUUACACCUGUGUGUUACGCUAUCACUGACAAUUUUUUUUUUGUUGUGUGUUAGUCUGGUGGCUGCGUUUGGAUUGAGUCUUGAUAUUUACGUUGUUACUUUGCACUGAAAAAGUGUGAAUGUUGGAGAGUGGAAGCGCGGGU